rnacentral:rRNA from 1 species
AUACGUAGGGGGCGAGCGUUGUCCGGAAUUAUUGGGCGUAAAGCGCGCGCAGGCGGUUCCUUAAGUCUGAUGUGAAAGCCCACGGCUCAACCGUGGAGGGUCAUUGGAAACUGGGGGACUUGAGUGCAGGAGAGGAGAGCGGAAUUCCACGUGUAGCGGUGAAAUGCGUAGAGAUGUGGAGGAACACCAGUGGCGAAGGCGGCUCUCUGGCCUGCAACUGACGCUGAGGCGCGAAAGCGUGGGGAGCAAACAGGAUGAGAUACCUUGGUAGUCCACGCCGUAAACGAUGAUUGCUAAGUGUUAGAGGGGUCACACCCUUUAGUGCUGCAGCUAACGCGAUAAGCACUCCGCCUGGGGAGUACGGCCGCAAGGCUGAA